rnacentral:rRNA from 1 species
UACAGAGGGGGCAAGCGUUGUUCGGAAUUACUGGGCGUAAAGGGCGCGUAGGCGGCCUGCUAAGUCGAACGUGAAAUCCCUGGGCUCAACCCAGGAACUGCGUCCGAUACUGGUUGGCUUGAAUCCGGGAGAGGGAUGUGGAAUUCCAGGUGUAGCGGUGAAAUGCGUAGAUAUCUGGAGGAACACCGGUGGCGAAGGCAGCCCCCUGGGCUGACACUGACGCUGAGGUGCGAAAGCGUGGGGAGCAAACAGG